ACGCACGCUGGCGGCGUGCUUAACACAUGCAAGUCGAACGGAAAGGCCUCAGCUUGCUGGGGUACUCGAGUGGCGAACGGGUGAGUAACACGUGGGUGAUCUGCCUUGCACUCUGGGAUAAGCUUGGGAAACUGGGUCUAAUACCGGAUAUGAACUGCCUUUAGUGUGGUGGUUGGAAAGUUUUUUCGGUGCAAGAUGAGCUCGCGGCCUAUCAGCUUGUUGGUGGGGUAAUGGCCUACCAAGGCGUCGACGGGUAGCCGGCCUGAGAGGGUGUACGGCCACAUUGGGACUGAGAUACGGCCCAGACUCCUACGGGAGGCAGCAGUGGGGAAUAUUGCACAAUGGGCGGAAGCCUGAUGCAGCGACGCCGCGUGGGGGAUGACGGCCUUCGGGUUGUAAACUCCUUUCGACAGGGACGAAGCUUUUUGUGACGGUACCUGUAUAAGAAGCACCGGCUAACUACGUG
rnacentral:rRNA from 1 species